rnacentral:rRNA from 1 species
AUUGAACGCUGGCGGCAGGCUUAACACAUGCAAGUCGAGCGGGGUGAUGGUGCUUGCACUAUCACUUAGCGGCGGACGGGUGAGUAAUGCUUAGGAAUCUGCCUACUAGUGGGGGACAACAUCUCGAAAGGGAUGCUAAUACCGCAUACGACCUACGGGAGAAAGCAGGGGAUCACUUGUGACCUUGCGCUAAUAGAUGAGCCUAAGUCGGAUUAGCUAGUUGGUGGGGUAAAGGCCUACCAAGGCGACGAUCUGUAGCGGGUCUGAGAGGAUGAUCCGCCACACUGGGACUGAGACACGGCCCAGACUCCUACGGGAGGCAGCAGUGGGGAAUAUUGGACAAUGGGCGGAAGCCUGAUCCAGCCAUGCCGCGUGUGUGAAGAAGGCCUUAUGGUUGUAAAGCACUUUAAGCGAGGAGGAGGCUCUUUUGGUUAAUACCCAAGAUGAGUGGACGUUACUCGCAGAAUAAGCACCGGCUAACUCUGUGCCAGCAGCCGCCGUAA